AGGCGACCGCUUUUGGAGUUCGAUUAAGCCAUGCGAGUAGAAUGAAAUAAUUCAUUGCAAACUGCUCAGUAACACGUGAUUAACCUGCCCUAUGCUCUGGGAUAACCUCGGGAAACUGAGAAUAAUACCGGAUAGAUCACAACGCCUGGAACGGUGUGUGGUUGAAAUGGUUCGGCGGCAUAGGAUGGGUCUGCGGCGUAUCAGGUUGUAGGGGGUGUAAUGGACCCCCUAGCCAUCGACGCGUACGGGUGUUGGGAGACAUAGCCCGGAGACGGAUUCUGAGACACGAAUCCGGACCCUACGGGGUGCAGCAGGCGCGAAAACUUCACACUGCAGGAAACUGUGAUGAGGGUACUCCAAGUGGAUGCACAUAGUGUAUCUCUUUUCUUUACUAUUAAUCGGUUCUGGAAUAAGGGGUGGGAAAGACCGGUGCCAGCCGCCGCGGUAAUACCGGCAGCUCGAGUGGUCGUCGCUUUUAUUGGGCCUAAAACGUCCGUAGCCGGUUUGGUAAAUCUGUGGGUAGAUCAACUAGCUUAACUAGUUGGAUUCUGCAGAGACUGCCAGACUAGGAACCGGGAGAGGUGUGGGGUACUCAAGGGGUAGGGGUAAAAUCCUGUCAUCCUUUGAGGACCACCAGUUGCGAAGGCGCCACACUGGAACGGAUUCGACGGUCAGGGACGAGGCCUAGGGGCACGAACCGGAUUAGAUACCCGGGUAGUCCUAGGUGUAAACGCUGUGGACUUGGUGUCGGGAGUCCGCAAUGGGCCCCCGGUGCCGGAGUGAAGAUGUUAAGUUCACUGCCUGGGGAGUACGGUCGCAAGGCUGAAACUUAAAGGAAUUGGCGGGGGAGCACUGCAACGCGAGGAGCGUGCGGUUU
rnacentral:rRNA from 1 species